rnacentral:rRNA from 1 species
AUUGAACGCUGGCGGCAGGCCUAACACAUGAAAGUCGAGCGAGCGGCGGACGGGUGAGUAAUGUAUGGGGAUCUGCCAGAUAGAGGGGGAUAACUACUGGAAACGGUGGCUAAUACCGCAUACUAUCGGAUGAACCCAUAUGGGAUUAGCUAGUAGGUGGGGUAAAGGCUCACCUAGGCGACGAUCUCUAGCUGGGCGGAGAGGAUUAUCAGCCACACUGGGACUGAGACACGGCCCAGAAUCCUACGGGAGGCAGCAGUGGUGAAUAUUGCACAAUGGGCGCAAGCCUGAUGCAGCCAUGCCGCGUGUAUGAAGAAGGCCUUAGGGUUGUAAAGUACUUUCAGCGGGGAGGCGUUACCCGCAGAAGAAGCACCGGCUAACUCCGUGCCAGCAGCCGCGGUAAUAC